rnacentral:rRNA from 1 species
UUAACGUAGACGAAAGUUACGCUAAUACCGCAUAUUCUGUGAGCAGGAAAGAGGGGGAUCGCAAGACCUCUUGCUUUAGGAGCGGCCGAUGUCGGAUUAGCUAGUUGGUGAGGUAAAGGCUCACCAAGGCGACGAUCCGUAGCGGGUCUGAGAGGAUGAUCCGCCACACUGGGACUGAGACACGGCCCAGACUCCUACGGGAGGCAGCAGUGGGGAAUUUUGGACAAUGGGCGCAAGCCUGAUCCAGCCAUGCCGCGUGAGUGAAGAAGGCCUUCGGGUUGUAAAGCUCUUUCGGUGGGGAAGAAAUUGCACAGGAUAAUACCUUGUGUAGAUGACGGUACCCGCAUAAGAAGCACCGGCUAACUACGUG